rnacentral:rRNA from 1 species
AUUUAAAGAAAGCGUAAUAGCUCACUGGUCGAGUCGGCCUGCGCGGAAGAUGUAACGGGGCUAAACCAUGCACCGAAGCUGCGGCAGCGACGCUUAUGCGUUGUUGGGUAGGGGAGCGUUCUGUAAGCCUGCGAAGGUGUACUGUGAGGUAUGCUGGAGGUAUCAGAAGUGCGAAUGCUGACAUAAGUAACGAUAAAGCGGGUGAAAAGCCCGCUCGCCGGAAGACCAAGGGUUCCUGUCC